rnacentral:rRNA from 1 species
UACGUAGGGGGCAAGCGUUGUCCGGAAUCAUUGGGCGUAAAGCGCGCGUAGGCGGCCCGGUAAGUCCGCUGUAAAAGUCCAGGGCUCAACCCUGGAAAGCCGGUGGAUACUGUCGGGCUAGAGUCCGGAAGAGGCGAGUGGAAUUCCUGGUGUAGCGGUGGGAUGCGCAGAUAUCAGGAGGAACACCGGUGGCGAAGGCGGGUCUCUGGACAGUUCCUGACACUGAGACACGAAGGCCAGGGGAGCAAACGGG